UACAGAGGGGGCAAGCGUUAUUCGGAAUUAUUGGGCGUAAAGGGCGCGCAGGCGGCCCUCCAAGUCAGGCGUGAAAGCCCCGGGCUCAACCCGGGAACAGCGCUUGAGACUGGGGGGCUUGAGUUCGGGAGAGGAGAGUGGAAUUCCCAGUGUAGAGGUGAAAUUCGUAGAUAUUGGGAAGAACACCGGUGGCGAAGGCGGCUCUCUGGACCGACACUGACGCUGAGGCGCGAAAGCGUGGGG
rnacentral:rRNA from 1 species